rnacentral:lncRNA from 1 species
GUUGGUGGUGGCUCAUUGUCGUGUCUAGGGCUCUGAUACGUGGGAUGGGAACAUUUAUAUUAUUUUAUUGUUGUUUUCCUCCUAUGUAUCAAUUUUUGGAACUUAAUGAUGUGACCCUUUGUUGGUUGACUUUUGUUGUUUAGGCUUAAUGCCAGGAUAUUGUUGGAGAUUUAAAUUGUUGUGGUUGUUAUUGAAAUGCAAAACUUUCCGCUGCAUAAUUAUUGAAGUUAUGAAUGAUGU